rnacentral:rRNA from 1 species
AUCGAACGCUGGCGGCAGGCCUAACACAUGCAAGUCGAACGAAGCCUUCGGGCUUAGUGGCGGACGGGUGAGUAACACGUGGGAACGUACCUUUUGGUUCGGAGUAACGCAGAGAAAUUUGCGCUAAUACCGAAUGAGCCCUUAGGGGGAAAGAUUUAUCGCCGAAAGAUCGGCCCGCGUUGGAUUAGGUAGUUGGUGUGGUAAAGGCGCACCAAGCCUACGAUCCAUAGCUGGUCUGAGAGGAUGAUCAGCCACACUGGGACUGAGACACGGCCCAGACUCCUACGGGAGGCAGCAGUGGGGAAUCUUGCGCAAUGGGCGAAAGCCUGACGCAGCCAUGCCGCGUGAAUGAUGAAGGUCUUAGGAUUGUAAAAUUCUUUUACCAGGGACGAUAAUGACGGUACCUGGAGAAAAAGCCCCGGCUAACUUCGUGCCAGCCGCCGCCGUAACAC